rnacentral:rRNA from 1 species
UGCCAGACUCCUACGGGAGGCAGCAGUGAGGAAUAUUGGUCAAUGGGCGGAAGCCUGAACCAGCCAAGUCGCGUGAGGGAUUAAGGCCCUAUGGGUCGUAAACCUCUUUUGUCAGGGAGCAAUGGCGUCCACGUGUGGGCGUAUGGAGAGUACCUGAAGAAAAAGCAUCGGCUAACUCCGUGCCAGCAGCCGCGGUAAUACGUAGGGGGCAAGCGUUAUCCGGAUUUACUGGGUGUAAAGGGAGCGUAGACGGACUUGCAAGUCUGAUGUGAAAAUCCGGGGCCCAACCCCGGAACUGCAUUGGAAACUGUAUAUCUAGAGUGUCGGAGAGGCAAGUGGAAUUCCUGGUGUAGCGGUGAAAUGCGUAGAUAUCAGGAGGAACACCAGUGGCGAAGGCGGCUUGCUGGACGAUGACUGACGUUGAGGCUCGAAAGCGUGGGGAGCAAACAGGAUUAGAUACCCGAGUA